ensembl:rRNA 5S_rRNA 5S ribosomal RNA
CGCAUUAUACCUUAUUAUAAAAAAUUAUGACCGAUCCCGUCUGAUCUCAGAAGCUAAGCAGGGUUGGACCUGGUUAGUACUUAGAUGGGAGAUCACCUAGGAAGACCAGGUGCAAUAGGCGU